rnacentral:rRNA from 2 species
UAUUUUAAAUUGUAAAUUGUUUUCUACCUAAAUAUUAUGAACUUUUGUUUAAAAUUUAAAGAACUUGGCGGUAUCUUAGACUACUUAGGGGAACCUGUUUUUUAAUCGAUAGUCCUCGUUUUACCUUACCUUUUUUUGUUAUCAGUUUGUAUACCGUCGUCGUCAGUUAACUUUAGAGAAUAUAGGAGUUGUCUUUUUAAAUUUUAUUUUAGAUGUCAGAUCAAGGUGCAGCUUAUAAAUAGGUGGAAAUGGGUUACAAUUAUAUAAUUAUAAUUAUGAAUAAUUUUAUGAAAUUAUUAUUUGAAGGAGGACUUAAAAGUAAUUUAAUUUAGUUAUAUUUAAUGAAUGUGGCUCUUGGAUGUGUACACACCGCCCGUCACCCUCA